AACGGAAUAGCUUCCUGUGGCAGCACAUCAAAGGAGGAGACAGUGAAAAACAACCAUGGCCACAGCAAUUAAAAACAACAAAAAGACAAAAGUGGAGGCACCAGCUUGUUCUAACAAGAGGUCAGUUGGGGUCACUGUACUGAAUGUGGGGGUCAGCAGGGACUCACCAGACCAGCCACAGCGUGAGGGAGAUCCAGCGGAUGUUUGGGGAACGGAGCAGGUCACAGAUGUUGAGGGCCUUACUCGUCUCGCAUUGAAGUUCUUUCUGUGGGGCAGCAGAGCCCUCAGAAUAACAAACACUUAGCAAGCAGAGCCAUCACUCUAGAAAUAAUUUCAUUAGAGAGAUGCUUGUGUAUGAAUGGCCACUUGCUGAGUGACCACAUGCAUGUGCACGUGUUCACACAUGUAGUACCCAAAUGUCUGGAUCAGGAUUAAAGGCAAAAGUUCAAUGUGCAAUGAAGACUGGGGGGGGGGAUUCUUGUAGUAAUUAGGAGUAGAGGUAAAGGAAACAGAUUUCUCCAGUUUAUGUUUAAAUUGUAACCUGUCUUAUUUGUUAUCUCCCCUUAGUCAUAAUUCUCAAAAAAUACAAAUCAAAUAGGUAGUGUGAUCAUAUUAAUGUGAGUGUUGUAGUUUUGACAGUUUUUUCUUAGGUUGUCCAGUUCCUAAAUUGUUGAUAAUUCACAACCCAACACCACAUCUUUUGAAUACAUUUUUAAGUAAAAAAGUACUAAGUAAAAAAAUAUGAUACUGGCUUAUCAUAUUAGGAAAAUGCCCUGUGCCCAGUUUUUAUACAUUUACAUGAACAGUUUUUUUUCAGUGAGAUCUCACCUGCAAAGGACUAAAGAUGACCGGCGGUGGCUUGAUUUUGUUCUUUUUAGCAGCAUCUCUCACUAUGGCCUCUGCCUCCUCCACUCUGCCCCGAGACAGCAGCCAGCGAGGAGACUCUGGGAUGAACCUGCCUCAGUACACAACAGAGAGAGAGACAGAUAUUGAAUCCCCCAGAAGAGAGAAAUUAUUACUGUACGGUAAAGGUAUUUUAUUUUACCUUAUUCCGAGUCCUUUGACUGCUCAAAUGAUCCUCCAUAAAAGUAAAACAUACCUAACAAAGCCUUGAUAAAGUUGAAAAAGGCUGAUGCUGUUGCAAUGAUGUUACUGUUAUUACAUUGUGAAUAUAGUGACCAUAUAUAUGUAUGACACUUUUUCUUAAAUGUAUACCUAAUCCGACAAUUAUGCAUGCAUUUUAAUAUGAUAGAGUAGAUCCAAAAAAUACAUUAAAAAGUAAUUGUCAUAAUGUCAUAGUCACAAGUUUAAUGUCACAACACCACAGCCCUAUAACAUUUAUAUUUUACUAUCAAAGAAGGACUGUAUUUAUUAUGUUUAUCAACUACGUGAUUAAUUGGGACAUUUUUUCAGCUUUAAAAAAACAAUCUGUUUAGCUUUUGACAGGAACUAUGUUGAUUAAUUGAUUGACCUUCAUGAACGUAAUACUUAAAGCAACGCUGUACACUAUACACCACUCAACACUGUAGAAAAUAAAACACUUGAAAUGAAACACAGCCAGAGAUAAAAUCAACUAGAAAAAUAAGAACCCUACACAUUCAAGCAAACACACCUACCUACCACCAGAGAGGCACAUAGAGGAAGCCAGGCAGGGUGAGGCCUAAGAGAAGCAUCCUCCAGUCUCUCAAGAAGUAGGCUAACAGUGGCAGGAACAUGUAGCCUGCAGCAAAGAAAAUACUCACACCUGCGGUGGAAUAAAUUGUCCGA